rnacentral:lncRNA from 1 species
ACCACUGCACACACAUACCAACACCACUGCACACACAUACCAACACACUGCUCAUCUGUUAUCAAUGCAGAUGAGACUCUAAACGUAACCAAAACAACAAAAAAAGUCUUAAAAAAAAUUUUUUUUUAAAUUUUUUAGGCCCACACCCAUGGUGUUUAGAAGUUCCCAGGCUAGGGGUUGAAUCAGAGCUACAGCUGCUGGCCUAUGUCAUAGCCAUAGCAACAGGGGAUCUGAGCCAUGUGACCUACACCACAGCUUGCAGCAUCGCUGGAUCCCCAACCCACUGAGCGAAGCCAGGUAUCAAACCCGCAUCCUCAUGGAUGCUAGUUGCCACUGUGCCACAAUGGAAACUCCACAAAGUCUUUUAAACCCCUCCGUGGGACUUUUGCUCUUUGAGGAAAACUGAGCCCUACCUAGAUGAUCUGCCUUUUCUCCAUCGACUAACCAUUGCUUUUGGAAUCGGGUACAUCCCACAGUACCUAUUCCUAGUCGUUUGCCAGUAGCCCAUGUGCUCCUUUUAGUUCCCACCUCUGUAGAUACAGUUGUAACAGUUAUAAGGGUGUCCUCCAUUCACUGUUUUUUUAUGUAGUACAGCAGCACUGGUUUCAGUCAGCCCAGGAAAAUGUGGGCACCCUAAGUUAACUAAACUAUUUUUGGGUUUCCAAGGACUGAAACUGAGUUUUCUUGGACUCAGCUCAAGAGAAUGAGGUGUGAGAGAGGUCCUGCUGUUGUUUAAUAUUAACUGAAAUUUCCCAAAGCUCUAAUAAACAUGAGAAUAACAUUGUGGCAUCAUCUUUAGCCUCUGGAGGCCUGGGAUGAGUCUUCAUGUGAAGCUACAGUGCUGGCUUCCCACAGAAGCAGAUCAACCGUUAAGGAACAUCACAGUAUCAGUGACUGGCUGGUAUGAUUGCACUUAGCAAGCAGAGAUUUUUCAGCAAGAUGAAGAGACAUCUUGCUCGCUGUUUUGGGCUCCUGAAGCAUAGAUUUAUCCCUACUUAAUGUACUCAUUAUAACCUGUCACCAUUUACUUGUUUGUUGAUGCUAUCAAUACCUGUUGAUUGUGGCCUGGUAUGUACCAGGCACAGAUUAGCCUCUUAAUAAAUGUUGAUAAAAUUUAUAAAUGGAACCUCUCUCAACCUGUAGAAUUCAGUGUGAGUAUGUGUAUGUAGAGGACAUUAGUGGAGGAUUUUUUUUAAAGCUAUCAUUGCAUAAGCUAAAUCUUAAAAGAUGAACAAGAGUCCCUACAAUGGAUAAAGGAAGAGGAAUUAUUCUAGAAGGAGGUAAAAACACACACAAAGGCAGAUGUGUAGAUCUACAGGGACUCUGUUGUGACUCAGAUAGGAUGAAACCAGACUGGGUGCAGGAGCAGGCAAGGAAACCCUGCUUUCACAUAGAAUUAUCAACCCAAAGAGUGGAUUGGAAAUGGUAUGCUUAAAAUGUUUAGAAGGAAAUAUGUCCUUGGAUUUCAGAAAUUAAAAAUAAACUGGCCCAGAGAACUGCAUUUUCUGAGGCCAGUGUGGUAGGCAGUCUCUGAGAUGGCUCCCACUGAGCCCUACUUCCUGAUAUUCAUGGCAUGGUAUACUCUCCUUCUCUUUAGUACCUUGCUUUUGUACUUGCCAAUAGAUUAUGGCAACGUUGAGGGGUAUCACCUUCCAUGAGUAGGUUACUUCCAUCUUGUUAGCCAACUCUCUCUAUUGCCUUCUUGGUAUGCAUGCUUUUAUGAAAUAAGCUGCCACAUUGGAGAGGCCCACAUGGCAAGCCUCUGAGGGUGGGCCAAUAAAAAACCAGUAAGGAAAAGAAGCUUUUGGUCCAGAAGAGCCCAAGGAAGUAAAUUUCUCCAAGUACCACUGAGUGAACUUGGAAGAACAUUCCCAGUUGAAACUUUGGCUGUGACUGCAGAUCCUGGCCUGACAACUUGAUUUGGCCUUGUAAGAGACAAAGAGGCAAAGGAUACAGGUAAGCUAUGUCUGGACUCUUGAUCCACAGAUACCAUGAGAUAAUAAAUAUGUGCUAUUGUAACUGGGUAAGUUUUGCGCUAAUUUGUUAUGCAGCAAUAGUAAUAGAGACAGGAAGUGAGGAAGCUCUUUAUAAAUUCCAAGGCUCUUGAUGUAUGCACUGCAGUUAACAAAAGCCUUAGACACAUUUCUGUGCUUCACCAGUUCUGUGGUGAAGUGUAUGUCACAUCCUUUCCCUUUUUAAAGUUGGGAUUUUUGGAGUUCCCAUCGUGGCACAGUGGAAACAAAUCUGACUAGGAACCACGAGGUCGUGGGUUCGAUCCUGGCCUUGCUCAGUGGGUUAAAAAAAAAAAUAAAUUUCAAUCCCUACUUCAUGGCGUUGCCAUGACCUGUGGUGUAGGUCACAGACUUGGCUUGGAUCUGGUGUUGCUGUGGCUGUGAUGUAGGCCAGCAGCUGUAGCUCUGAUUUAACCUCAUAUGCCAGGGGUAUGGCCCUAAAAAGACAAAAAAAAAAAAAAAAAAAAAAAAA